AAAAUAAUCAUGGACAAUAACCAUAAUUGUGCUGGAAACGUUAGAUAAUUCUUAUUGACAACCCUUCUUCCUUAUAAGCAGUGCAGCAAUUCAUGUAUUGUAAUUGGUUUGAAUAGUCAAGAUUUUAGGCCAUGGUACUAGUAUGCUAUAUUUUCAUUUACAGAAAUAAAUCUAUUUCAUCAUCAUCAUGUGUUGCAAUACCACUACCAGGGACAUCAAAGAUGACCUGGACUUCAGUGCAUAUGCAGAGGAAAGUAGCACUAAAGAAAGCCAAUAAAAUCCUUUUGGAGUUGAAUUGAGACACAACCAUUCAUUUCUGGUUUAGUUAUAAAACUGCUACAGACUAUAAACUAUUCAUGAUGAUGGAAUACACCAAUGCCUAGUACAAUGCCCAUUAGAAACCAGAACAAACCAUGGCUGCAAAGGAAAUAAGAUGCACAUAGUCUGAAAGAUCUGGCUGGUGUUCUGAAUAAGAUGACAUAAUAUCUCAACUGCAGAAGUACAGCUGGCAUGUAGGGGUUUCAACAGCACAUCUUGAUGUAUUGUACCAAAAGAUUUGCUUACACACCACCUGUUUAUAGGAUGCACAAUCUUCUUGCAGCCAUAGAUUAUAAUAUACAUGCAAAUAGACCAUACAUCACCAACAAGGGGGAUCUGUUAGACUUCAGCGAGUCUGGAUGAAUUAAAGAAGAAGAAAAAGUAUCAUUAUACCAUUUUUCAUGAUGCUAUAACUCUGAGAAUUAGUGACAUGGAGGGGAUAUAUAAAAUAGAAAGUUAGAGGAAGAUGACCCCCACAGACUUUCAAAAUAUUUGGCCCAAGUUAGCCCGAAGCCUACCCGAGCCAUUCAUGAGGAACAUAAAUCAAGAUAUGAUUGACUUUUUAUGGAAAAGAAUGAUAAAUAGUGUGUUACACUGAUUGCCCAACUAUUCAAACAUAUUUAAGCUGACAUUGAACACCUGGUAUUCAUGAUAGUUUUACGAAAAAAAUUCUCUUGAUUCAUUUGUCAUGACUCAAGGUCUGAUUUUAAUAUUUUGUCAGAAAAAUGACUACUUUUUAUACAAGUGCAAAAUAUUAUCUAAUCUAUUAAACUAUAAGUGCUGCUAUGAGCUUUAAUGUAGUAAUGAAGUUAAAAGUAUUAUUCAAUUAUAUCUUUUGAUAUACAUGUACUAUGUCAUUCACUUUAGCUCAGCUUUUCUUUUUUCUUUUUUUUUUGAAAAAAGAAAUAGAGGUUGCUGCUGUUGCCUUCUGCAAACUUGAACCUUGUUCAUAACUUUUAAAGUUCUUGGUGUAUUGUCUAACCUUGGCCUUCAUUCAUAAUUGACCUUGACCUUCAAGGCUAAAUGUCUAAAUUUUGGCUUUGCUUAGUGGCUUUAACUUUAUUGCCCUUUGUUAAUUUUCAUAUUUCAUUUUUGUCUUGGCCAUUUCUCCUAAACUAUAUUGUUCACAAGGCAACACAUCCGACUCGCGGAGAUCUAGUUGUUAUUAGUCCAUGAAUUGUUUGUAGUCCAAUCUAGUUUAUUAGACCAACGACAUAGGGGCAUUUUAUAUAAAAUCCUUGUUCAAUCAAACAAGGCAAGCCUUAAAAUUAUCUUUGUAUUUACUCCCUCAUCCCAUUCCAGUUCUGAUAGGUAAGGUGGGCUGAUAAAAUAUUUAUUUUUGUGCCCCCACUUUAGUGGCGGGCAUUUAGAUUUACCCUUGUCCGUCCGUCCGUAUUUUACCUAGAGUCAUGAAACUUUACUGUAAUGUUGAUCAGCAAGUGUAGUUGUUCACCUUGGUAUUUUCAUCUGGAUAUUUUUAGUAUUUUCAGAGUAACUGCCAUUGAAUUUUUGCAAUUUUCAACUUGUGUCGCAUGUUACUCAAGAAGUAUUUGACCUAGAGCAAUGAAACUUUACAGGAAUGUUGAACAUUAUGUGUAGUUGUGCACCUGGGUAUUUUCGUCUGGAUUUAGUAUUUUGAGAGUUAUGGCCCUUGAUUUAGUAAAAUUUUGCAAUUUUCAACUUGUGUUGCAUGUAACUCAAAAAGUAUUUGACUUUAUAGAGUCAUGAAACUUUACAGGAAUGUUGAUCAGCAUGUGUAGUUGCGCAUCUGGGUAUUUUCGUCUGGAAUUAUUUAGGAUUUUUUAGAGUUAUUGCCCUUGAAUUGGUAAAAUUUUGCAGUUUUCAACUUGUGUCACAUGUAACUCAAAAAGAAUUUGACAUAGAGUCAUUAAACCUUACAGGAAGCUUGCUCAGCAUAUUUAGUUUUGCACCUGGGGUUUGGCUUGUGGAUUUAUCCAGUAUUUGUAGAGUUAUUUCCCUUGACUUAGUAAAAAACGUUUCAUUAUGUUGUUAUUUGUUCCUUGAGUGCUUGAGUACUUUACAGGAAUAAUGAUCAACAUCACUAAAUUACAGGAAUAAUGAUUUACAUCACUGUGAAGCUAUGAACCUGGGACUUUCAUGUGGAUUUUUUCAGUUUUGUUAGAGUUAUUGCCCUUGACUUACAGUAGUAUAAAUUUACAAUUUUCAACUUGUUCAUGCAUAGCUCAAAAAGUAUUUAUGUUUUCUUUCAUUUCAUUUAGCCAAACAUAAAUAAUUUAUCAUUUAACUCCAUAAUUAAUAUCCUACAGGGAUAAAAUAUAAAUAAGAAAGACAAUAUAGGAGUGGCUACUACAGGUUCACUUUAAUUUAUCGAAUAAUUUACAAUUUUCAACUUGUUCAUGUAUAGCUCAGAAAGUAUUUCACUUGUAGGCCUGAAUGUUUAAAAGAAUGUUGGUCAGCAUGUGCACUUAUGCACCUUGGGGUUUACUUGUGAAUUUAUUCAGUAUUUGUAAAGUUCUUGCCCUUUACUUAGUAACAGAUUUUUAGUUUUCAAAAAAUAUUUGACCUAGAGUCAUAAGAUUGACAGAACAGUGGGGGGGGGGGACCCGUGUCCUAUGGACACAUUCCUAGUUAUUCAAAAUGUUUGUCUUGUUUUAUUUUUCAUUAAAAUUAUAUGUAGUUCAAACAAAUUGUGAAUGCAUGAAAGCAUCUGUUUUACUUGAAAAUUUAGAACCAUAUUUUCAGUUUCAAUCAACAAAUAUCCCAACAUCUGUAUAUUUACAAUUAAAAAAUCACGAGACAGUUAAAAAGAUGUCAUUCUCAUUGACACUCUGAUUUCAUUUUAGUAAACAAAUCCUGGGCAAUAAGAUAUUUUAGGUAGCUGUGCUAUUUGUAGGUAGGUUGCGGGAGUGGGGAACAAACAAUAUUUUACAUUCAGGGGUAAGCCUAAGUUUUUAGGCUGGGUAGGAACAUUGCCCUUCCCCAGAUAAUGGCACCAACUGAUUUUGAGGUAAUUAGAUUUAAAGCUCAAGAUGGCAUAAAGUUUAACUUCCUUUAAAUAUGUGUAGCAUUGUAAGGUAUAGUUUGUUUAACCCAGAAGGAAAAAUCCUGAUUGCCACUAGUUUUAAGAUUGGUCCAUUUGAUUAUAAGUUCAAGGUCUCAGUGACAUGUAAACUCAUGGUCCCAAGGUUUUGAACAUUUCCAGGGAAAUUGCUUAGAUUAGUAAUUAAGCAUUAGUUUGGAGUUAAUAAGGUCUAAGGUCACAAUGGCUUAAGCAUCAUAUCCUUCAUCACCAGAAACCCAUAAGGGGUUAGCUCAAGUUCAUACAAUUUGGUUGGAAUUAAGAUAUUAUUUAUUUCCUUCUACAAUAUUGGCCAUCUUCACACUUUCUCUUCCUGUUAAGACAGCAUGGAUUGAAUAAUAAAUAAAACUAUAACUGUAAAGAAGUCACUGUUGUACAAUUUUAAGAGUAAGAAAAAGAAGAUAUGCUGUUCAUUUGAAAAUAUUAUAUUGUUGUUUUACUGCCAAUGUUCAAAUACAUGUUUCAAUUUA